GAUCAAAUCUUAGUUGGCAGAGCAUCUGCUUUGCAUGCAGAAAGUCCCGGGUUCAGUCCCCAGGGGCAUCU